rnacentral:rRNA from 1 species
UACGUAGGGUGCAAGCGUUAAUCGGAAUUACUGGGCGUAAAGCGUGCGCAGGCGGUUUUGUAAGACUGUCGUGAAAUCCCCGGGCUUAACCUGGGAAUUGCGAUGGUGACUGCAAGGCUAGAGUUUGGCAGAGGGGGGUAGAAUUCCACGUGUAGCAGUGAAAUGCGUAGAGAUGUGGAGGAACACCGAUGGCGAAGGCAGCCCCCUGGGUCAAAACUGACGCUGAGGAGCGAAAGCGUGGGGAGCGAACAGG